rnacentral:rRNA from 1 species
GACCUGCGGAAGGUCAUUACCGAGUGCGGGCCCCUCGGGGCCCAACCUCCCACCCGUGUUGCCCGAACCUAUGUUGCCUCGGCGGGCCCCGCGCCCGCCGACGGCCCCCCUGAACGCUGUCUGAAGUUGCAGUCUGAGACCUAUAACGAAAUUAGUUAAAACUUUCAACAACGGAUCUCUUGGUUCCGGCAUCGAUGAAGAACGCAGCGAAAUGCGAUAACUAAUGUGAAUUGCAGAAUUCAGUGAAUCAUCGAGUCUUUGAACGCACAUUGCGCCCUCUGGUAUUCCGGAGGGCAUGCCUGUCCGAGCGUCAUUGCUGCCCUCAAGCCCGGCUUGUGUGUUGGGCCCCGUCCCCCCCGCCGGGGGGACGGGCCCGAAAGGCAGCGGCGGCACCGCGUCCGGUCCUCGAGCGUAUGGGGCUUCGUCACCCGCUCUAGUAGGCCCGGCCGGCGCCAGCCGACCCCCAACCUUUAAUUAUCUCAGGUUGACCUCGGAUCAGGUAGGGAUACCCGCUGAACUUAAGCAUAUCAAUAAGCGGAGGAAAAGAAACCAACCGGGAUUGCCCUAGUAACGGCGAGUGAAGCGGCAAGAGCUCAAAUUUGAAAGCUGGCCCCCUCGGGGUCCGCAUUGUAAUUUGCAGAGGAUGCUUCGGGAACGGCCCCCAUCUAAGUGCCCUGGAACGGGCCGUCAUAGAGGGUGAGAAUCCCGU